rnacentral:rRNA from 1 species
GUCGAGAAUCUUGGGCAAUGCGCGAAAGCGUGACCCAGCAAUGCCGCGUGUAUGAUGAAGGCCCUCGGGUCGUAAAGUACUGUCUCCCGUGACGAAAUUUGACGGUAGCGGGGAAGGAAGCCACGGCUAACUACGUGCCAGCAGCCGCGGUAAUACGUAGGUGGCGAGCGUUGUUCGGAUUUAUUGGGCGUAAAGGGUCUGUAGGAGGUUUGUUAAAUACGGGGUGAAAUCCCGAAGCUCAACUUCGGAAUUGCCUUGUAGACUGACGAACUGGAGUACCGGAGAGGUAAGCGGAAUACCAGGUGUAGCGGUGGAAUGCGUAGAUAUCUGGUAGAACACCAAAAGCGAAGGCAACUUGCUGGACGGAAACUGACUCUGAAAGACGAAAGCAUGGGGAGCAAACAGGAUUAGAAACCCGAGUAGUCC